rnacentral:lncRNA from 1 species
GAAGUAUUACUACUAUAUAUUGUCAUCAUCAAAAAGGGGGAGAUUGUUAGUGUAAAGUUUUAAUGAUAAUCAACUUAAUCCCUUCAGGACAACCCAGUCAUCAAAAAGGAAAGAAUCCAAUACGAAGAAGACUCUCACAGUAAGAUUGAAGAUCAUCAAAUCAGAAAUUAGAAGAUCAUCAAUCAAGGAGGCUGAAGUCCAAAAUGCACAAAUUAAGGAAGACCAC